rnacentral:rRNA from 1 species
AGUGAACGCUGGCGGUAGGCCUAACACAUGCAAGUCGAACGGCAGCACAGUAAGAGCUUGCUCUUACGGGUGGCGAGUGGCGGACGGGUGGGGAAUACAUCGGAAUCUACUUUUUCGUGGGGGAUAACGUAGGGAAACUUACGCUAAUACCGCAUACGACCUACGGGUGAAAGCAGGGGAUCUUCGGACCUUGCGCGAUUGAAUGAGCCGAUGUCGGAUUAGCUAGUUGGCGGGGUAAAGGCCCACCAAGGCGACGAUCCGUAGCUGGUCUGAGAGGAUGAUCAGCCACACUGGAACUGAGACACGGUCCAGACUCCGACGGGAGGCAGCAGUGGGGAAUAUUGGACAAUGGGCGCAAGCCUGAUCCAGCCAUACCGCGUGGGUGAAGAAGGCCUUCGGGUUGUAAAGCCCUUUUGUUGGGAAAGAAAAGCAGCAGGUUAAUACCCCGCUGUUCUGACGGUACCCAAAGAAUAAGCACCGGCUAACUUCGUG